ensembl:lncRNA
CACAGCUUUAGUAGUAUACACAGUUGGCACAAGGUGGCUGCACUUACAAUUUGACGAGUUCUGCGUGUGUCCGAGUGCAGUCAUAAAGCGUCACCGUGGCCAGGUCCUGAGCAUGGCCAGGAGCCACAGUGAGCCAUACCGUGACCAUGGCCAGUUUGGGGAAACAAAGGGGGCGAUUUUACGAGCAGCAGAAACACCUGAGCGAAGUGCACGGCGUGUGAAGAGCGACGCUGACACCGCCAGCCACCAGGGAAACGCGGUCAGUUAUGUCAGAAACCCAGAUUAUAACAAAUGUGGCCAGGUGUGGAGAGAACAGAACCCGUGGAUGGUACUGGGCGGACGGUAAGUGUUGCAGCUGCUUUGGACACAGCCUGCCAGUUCUUCAAGACGUUAAACAUCGAUUCACCCAGUGACUGAGCCAUUCCCCCGCUACGUGCAUCCCCGGGAAGGUGGAAACAGCCCUGUGGCCCCGAGCUGAUGAGGGGACCCACAGGCCCCGACCCACACAGUGGGUCAUAAAGGGCAGUGAACAGGAAGCAGGCACGGAUACCCGGGCAAUGCAGGAGGGCUUUGAAAGCGUGCCAGGCAAAGCAUCCAAUCACGAAUGCACACGUAAUCCGAUUCCAUCAAAGAAAAAAGUCCAGAGAGGGUGAACCCGCAGAGAGUCCAUUCGUGGUUACUGGGUGUGAGGAGGGAAGCAGUAACCAAAGGGUAACGUGGGCUCCAAAGGUCCAGUGAUCUACUCAGAAUUUUAUCCUGAGCAGUGUGGACAGAGCAGUCAUUCAGAGCAGUUAAAUCUGAAGCGCUGCAGAGGCCAGCACCCACCAAAGACCGGCAGCAGAGACAGCACCCAGUGUCCGGCAGAAGUCAGCCUGGGGAUGACGCUCGGCAGUGACAGAGACCGGCAGCCCGCUGUGUCACUGGCUGGCACCCAGCACUAUCCAGUGUGACUUGCGGACGAUAGGAGCUGCACUUGGCCAGUUCAUGACUCUGUCUGCGUGGAGCAGAGAAGCCUGGGCUGAGGGCCACAUCGUGUGUAGCUUGUGUCCCAGGCAGAAGCAGCGGCGGCACUGACCACUCCCCACAUGGGCGUCCUGCGCUGUCUCUCGGGGUGCCUGUCCCGAUACACUGUCACUUUGACAGCUGCUCCCAUGUCCCGCCACUUCACCAGUGAGGGCAGAACCAGGUAUUUCAAACAGUGUAACUGACACACACAAGGUGCAGGUCCUGAGGCGAAGUGGAACACCAUGCACACCCCGAUUCCAACAGGGCAGAGCUGCCUCCGCCUCUCUGCUCCUCCACCCAGACUACCGCAUUUCUUCAUGGCGAUUGCUUUGCAUUGUAGAGUUCUGUAUUAAGUAGGAUCCCACAGCGCCUACCCUCUCAUCUGGGUUUGCCAUUUAGCACAGGUGUUUUGAGGUUUGUGCAUGUUGCCUCUCUCAGUGACUCAGGUUUUACUGCUGAGAGGUGCAUCAUUGGACUGACACACCAGUUUGUUCAUCUACUCAUUUAUUGGCCAGUGUUUGGUUGUUUACAGUGUGGGGCUGUUACAGAUCCAGUAGCCGUGGACAUUUGUGUUCAAGUCUCGUGUGGGUAUCUAUCUUCUUUUCUCUUGGGAAGUGCCCAUGAGUGGCCUGACUGCACCAUUUGCUGGUGAAGCUUGGUGGUGAGCAUUUCCCCACCACCUGCGAAGUCCUGGGUCCCAUCCCUAGCACUGCAGAAAAGCACCGGAGAGGUCAUCAGACUGUUCGACACCUGGCAGCGUCCGAGAGCACAGGACCCGAACUCACUCGCCCGGCUGUCCCAUGAAGAGGACCGUAACACUGAUCACGCCAAGGCAGGCUGUGCAGUUAGCCCCACAACUGGCUUGUUUAUAGAACUGAGUCUGGCUGAAGCCUACGUGCCGAGGUCAGGGUAACUCGCACCCGAAUUCCAUUCCCACAACCAAAGCCUUCUGACUAGGACAGUGUACUAAUUACAACCAUAUAUUUUGUCUAUUCUGCGCCUAAUUUGAGACUGCUUUGUCUUGUCCUUUAAGAGCCUUGUUUACAUUAAUUUCCAUAGAAACCACACAUCGCCUUCACCCCAGUUGAUUGCCAAUAAAAGUCAGUGCUGGGCCUGGCCAGGCCUUUGUCGGUUGCACCGGCAUUGGUGGUCCUGGAAGCCCGCUUUCUCUCUCUCAGUUCUGUCUCUCAGUGCAUUCUUUUUCUCAGGCUUGCGCCACACACUGGCCAGGCGGGUACUGGAACCUGACUGCAGGGGUCUCUGGCUGUCUCAGUCUCUGAGAGCAGGCAGCGCUGGGCUGGAUUGGCUGGCGAUGCCCGAGCCUGGGUCUGAGAAGAGGCCGCUGCUCCUUCCCAGGGUCUUCCCUGCGGCUUCAGGGGCAACUUCUGCUAUGUAAACAGAUGAGCCAGUAGCAACACAACUCAUGCUCUUUCCUCUGUAAUCAGACAGGAGACAACGCCGAGCAAGCAGGAAGCGCCUCUCGUCAGUGCAUCAGGACGCCUCUGCUGGCAAAGUU